rnacentral:sRNA from 1 species
UCACUUCUCGUUUGGUCGGGGUCCGUGC